UACGGGGGGAGCAAGCGUUGUUCGGAUUUACUGGGCGUAAAGGGCGCGUAGGCGGUAGCACAAGUCAGUUGUGAAAUCUCCGGGCUUAACUCGGAAAGGUCAACUGAUACUGUGCGGCUAGAGUGCAGAAGGGGCAACUGGAAUUCUCGGUGUAGCGGUGAAAUGCGUAGAUAUCGAGAGGAACACCUGCGGCGAAGGCGGGUUGCUGGGCUGACACUGACGCUGAGGCGCGAAAGCCAGGGGAGCGAACGGG
rnacentral:rRNA from 1 species